CCUACGGGAGGCAGCAGAUCGGAAUAAUUCGCAAUGGGAGAAAUCCUGACGAUGCGACGCCGCGUGAGCGAUGAAGGCCUUCGGGUUGUAAAGCUCUGUGUUGUGGGAAGAAAACCUGGUAGGUGAAUAAUCUAUCAGCUUGACGGUACCAUAAUAGAAAGCCCCGCCUAACUACGUGCCAGCAGGCGCGGUAAU
rnacentral:rRNA from 1 species